rnacentral:lncRNA from 1 species
ACGGCUAUACCCAAUUUUGGAAUUUCUAUUAAAAAGAAAUGUGUUUACACGUGGGCAUAAUGGCUGGGGUCUUUUUUUAUAUUUAACAAUAGUAUAGUCGUACGGCUAUACUCACUUUUGAAUUUUUUUUUAAAAAGACGUGUUGACACGUGGCCCCUAUUGGUUGGGGGACUUUUUUUAUAUUUAAAAAUAGUAUAGCCGCACUGCGAUACUCUUUUUUUUUUUUUUUUAUAAAAAAAAUAUAGUAUAUGCGGGAGGCGUUGCUUUAAAAAAAAAAUUUGAAUUUAAUAAAUAGUAUAGACGAGCGGCUAUAGUCUUUUACAUACGUAUUCAUAUAUAUAUAUAUACACACACACAUAUGUAGGUACGUAUUUUUUGUGUGUGUUUACUAACACAUGGAAUAAUUCGAAUUCAUGACUUCCCUUACGUUUACUAACACAUAAGGAAUGAAAGAUUACUUGGGUUCCACAUUUAAAUCCAUAAUCGAAUGCCCUCAAAAUUGGGAAUGAAAUCAACUAGGAGGGAGUAGUUGAUCCGAUUCUCAUACCUUG